rnacentral:rRNA from 1 species
CCUACGGGAGGCAGCAGUGGGGAAUAUUGGGCAAUGGACGCAAGUCUGACCCAGCAACGCCGCGUGAAGGAAGAAGGCUUUCGGGUUGUAAACUUCUUUUAAGGGGGAAGAGCAGAAGACGGUACCCCUUGAAUAAGCCACGGCUAACUACGUGCCAGCAGCCGCGGUCAUACGUAGGUGGCAAGUGUUGUCCGGAUUUAAUGGGUGUAAAGGGCGUGCAGCCGGAGAGACAAGUCAAAUGUGAAAGCCCCGGGCUCAACCCGUGAACUGCAUUUGAAACUGUUUCCCUUGAGUGUCGGAGAGGUAUUCGGAAUUCCCAGUGUAGCGGUGAAAUGCAUAGAUAUUAGGAAGAACACCGGUGGCGAAGGCGGAUUACUGGC